rnacentral:rRNA from 1 species
GACGAACGCUGGCGGCGUGCUUAACACAUGCAAGUCGAACGGAAAGGCUCCAGCUUGCUGGAGUCCUCGAGUGGCGAACGGGUGAGUAACACGUGGGUAAUCUGCCCUGCACUCUGGGAUAAGCCUGGGAAACUGGGUCUAAUACUGGAUAUGACCUUUCUCCUUAUGGGGUUUGGUGGAAAGUUUUUCGGUGUAGGAUGGUCCCGCGGCUUAUCAGCUUGUUGGGGGGGUGAUGGCCUACCAAGGCGACGACGGGUAGCCGGCCUGAGAGGGUGAUCGGCCACAUUGGGACUGAGAUACGGCCCAGACUCCUACGGGAGGCAGCAGUGGGGAAUAUUGCACAAUGGGCGGAAGCCUGAUGCAGCGACGCCGCGUGAGGGAUGACGGCCUUCGGGUUGUAAACCUCUUUCAGCAGGGACGAAGCGUAAGUGACGGUACCUGCAGAAGAAGCACCGGCUAACUACGUG